rfam:Nicotiana sylvestris Nsyl_contig12977, whole genome shotgun sequence.
GUAAUGAGCAUUGUUACAUGUAGCACUGGCUCGCAUAAAUAUUUACCAGCCCGUGCUCAUGUGACAAUCCCCUUUGCU